GGUUAUUGGCAAAGUGCCAGCAGCGGAGAGAACAGGCGGAUCGUAAAGACGCCGUAAAUCCCUCCCUGGAGGCUCGAGCCGCGCCGUCCCUGGCGCGGACGCUUU
rnacentral:ncRNA from 1 species